AUUGAACGCAGGCGGCAGGCCUAACACAUGCAAGUCGAACGAGUGGCGGACGGGUGAGUAAUGUCUGGGAAACUGCCCGAUGGAGGGGGCUAACUACAGCAAACGGUAGCUAAUACCGCAUACCAUCGGCUGUGCCCAGAUGGGAUUAGCUAGGAGGUGGGGUAACGGCUCACCUAGGCGACGAUCCCUAGCUGUUGUGAGAGGAUGACCAGCCACACUGGACGUGUUACACAGUCCAGACUGCUACUGGAGGCAGCAGUGGCGAAUAUUGCACUAUUGGCGCUAGAAUGAUGCUCCCCUGCCGCGUGUAUGACGGAGGCCUUGGGGGUAAAAAGUGCUUUCAGGGAGGAGGCGUUACUCGCAGCAGAAGCACCUGCUAACUCCGUGCCAGCCGCCGCGGUAAUAC
rnacentral:rRNA from 1 species